CAGGGGGGGGGGAGCCUCCCCCCCCCCUGAGGCUGAGUUAACCCCCCCUUUUGUUUAACCCCUUUUCUUUCCUUGUGCCUUGAGUACUGCAACUAAGAUGGAAGACGCGCAAUCGUCUGCACACUCACAAACUUACGCAAGAAGCGCAUUUUUUUACUAUUUCCUAUGAAAUUAGUGCUGUUUAGAUGGUAUUGGCAAACUAAGGCAAACUGUCAACCCCCCCAUAGCAGAGAUCCUGGGUGCGCUACUGGCAGCCACUCCACUGCGCUGGAAACACUAUGCACUGGGUUUGCUUCGCGUAAUGCCGUUCCUCUUUUUUUUAAAUUGUGCUGCGUGAUAGCUGGGUCGCCCUGUAUAUAUAUAUAUAUUGUCUGGGAGAUAUUUCAAUGGCAAAUUGUACCAAAAAUGGUUGGAAAUGUAGAUGCAUGCUAAUUUCUAAAAAAAAAAAAAAAAAAAACACGGGAAAAAAGAACAUCACGUGCCUGUUGUUAAUCUGUGACCCUACAGAAUUUUUUUCUUUAAUCAUGAAAAGAAGCCAAAGAAAGAAACACAGACCAGCAUUCUUAUCCAUACCUGAGCCACAGACAGUAUUCGCUUUCUGUUAAUCUGGUUGCAGAGCAUUGUACUGCUUCACAGCGUCUGGUAAGUAUAAAGUCAUUUUUGGAAUUUCUUUGCCACAAGGACCUUUUUUCUGCAAUGUGAUCUCUUGUAGGAAAUAUACUGUAAGUUACUUGCACUUACUUAAGUUAGUUGUCUAAGGGAGAUUGUGAUUUGCAAGUUCAUGCUUAGCCUGAACUUGUGGGAGUGUAGAGAUGCGAUUCAGCCGGAAAAGAAACAAAGACACUAAACCCAUAAAAGGCAGUUCCUUCAGCUGUGGAAUAACAUGCCAGCAUUGCCAAUAUAUCAGCAUUGUUCUAGAAUAUUUCUCCGUAAGCAGAAGUCUAAAUGCAGUAGUGUAACUGGCUGGGCCAGUUGGUCUUUCAUCAUUUUUGUGUCAAGUGCAAACUUUUAACGGAAACACGCUUAUGUCUUCUUGUUUCUGUGUUUACCAUAAACGCUCGUUAAACUUCAAGCCUGCGUUGUACUUCCCCUGUGCAGCUACCGUUUUGCCUCCUAAUUGAACUUGUCGGAGCUCCCAGCUCCUCAUAGAUAUCGGUAAAAGUUGUGUAUUCACAGACUCUUUGACGGCUGCCAAGUCUUUUGAUACCCUGUCUGUGCUUUGGAACAUGUGCACUCAAUUAGAAAGCAGUUACUCAAUGAAUGUCUGCUGUCUUUAUCACUAGUUCGAGCUACCUCACGUGGACCACUCUGGUUUUCAAGGGCCCCAAGCCACCUCCAAGAUUUUGAAUGCAUUGUUGAUAAACACGCACAUUGUGCACGGAAUGCCACAGUGAUCUUCUUUGAUGAACACGGCAGCACUGUAUGCUGUAGGGAAUCCACAAAUUAAAGAAAGAAAAAGAAAGAACAAAAAAUCCUCUGCUCUUCUUGAGGCUUUUAUGGUCCCUUCACACAUGCCAGCAAGUUCAUGCUUGUUAUGGCAUCAGGGUAAACACUGUUGAUUAGUCAGUCAGCGAGAGCGCCAGUGUGAUGGGAACUGGCCUGGUGCUGUGAAACGGGAGUUGGGGCUCGCCUAUUGAGUGCCGCUGAUCUUUCCAUGAAGCUUCCACACAGUGAUCGUCGUGUGGAGGGCGAUGAGAGGCAUACUAUGAAGGAGCCCUUCUUCUGGUUAUUCGUUUUGAUUGGCUGAUGCAAACGCUACCUUUCGCUGCACUAAGCGGAGUUGGCGAGACGGACUGUAGAGAAGUCUGCAGGAGAGAGUGCCCGUGGGGAGGGUAGCAAAGGCAAGCGAGAAACCAUGGUGGGAGCACAGUUAUUCAUCACACCUAUAACUUUGCUAUUACGGCAUCAUUUCAAAAACCCUUGCAGCUGUAUGCUCAUUGUAGAAUGGUACACAGCUGCAACUAUACAACAAAUUUUUAAGCUCAGAUUGGUUUAGGGGCCCUUUAAGGCACCCAGGACAACUUAGAUACGUUCUGAGGUACCAAGAGUGGCAAGCAGCCAUCAGUGCUUGCAAGAUGGAGCAGUCUCAAUCUGAGGUUUGCUGUAGCUUUCCCAAUCUGUGGGCUGUACCUAAUGCUUUUGAUUUGCACAAGUCAGGUGUCCAACGCGACAUUGAAAACUCCAUGUGACAAACCUGUGCUGGGGAUGGCAUUUCCAUUGUCAAUCAAGGAGACUCGGAGGAUUGAGUUUUCGUGGGAUACUAACAGCCGCUCUUUAAGCCACAUUUUGCACACUUUCAUGACCCAUACUGUACACAGCAACUUAUCUUGUCAGUCUCGCGAUACCUUUCUGUGCUUGCUUUGCUACACCAGAUUUUUCUGCUAGCCCCAGCAGCUUAAGAAACAAAGACCGUGCUUAGGAAGGUGCCUGUCAUUUCAUUAAAACUGCUGUGUGCCGGUGGGUUGUGCAGUGUGGCUUGUAAUCAGCAGUUGCAAGGAAAGUUUUCAGAAGAAGCAAACGCCGUAAAAAACUUUGAUGUGCGUAAAUCUCCAAUUGAGCAGGUGCAUGAUCAUUGCACAUGAUAAAGCUAAAUGCAUCCUGGCAGCAUGCUUUCGUUGGCACCUUCCGAAGUCAGUCUACUGAACUACGGUGCACUUGUCGCAGACAGUGGUGCUAAGCUUGUAGCAGUCUCUUGGACUUGAAAGAGAGACAGCCCCUGAGUGGAUCUUAAUGUUACAUUAUGUCUAGUCGGGAAGCACACCUUUUCGUUUGCUAUGCUAGUCUUUGCCCAGCUUUGCACGCCUUUCUACCACUGUCUAUACUUGGGCUUAUGUUCAAAGCAGGCAUGGUCUGGUGCAAGAUUUUAUGCAUAAUGGCUUUGAGAAUUGAGACACGCGUAGAUGUGGUGUAACAUAUGCCUGUCAUAUAUGAGGCGUCCCAACUAAUAUGGAGCAAGUUUUACAAAAAGAAGUUAAGCCUUCUGCGUGGAUGAAACUAACCGUAUGUUAGCAACCACUUGAAGAAGUCUCCAGUAUGGUUUUUCUUCCUAUUGAGCAAUUAUUACUGAUUAAUAAUGUAAGUUUUUGGUUAUUAGCUUUGUGGCCACAAUGUCGAUAAGUGGCUUGCGAGACAUACUUGAAAACACCACUUUCAAUUCUUUACGGUGUGCUGCCUUUGAAUUGAAAGAAUGGUGUUGCGACAUGCGAGUGGUGGGCCGCACCAGCUUUUAAAGUAUCUCUCAGGCUUUCUUUCAACUUUAGAAAGAAAGAGCUGCGCAAAAGGAAGCACGUCGUGAACAACUGAAAAUGGCGUAUCAAAAUGUGCCUUACAAACCACGUAUUGACAUUGUUGCCAUAACGUUAAUAAUCGAAAACUUAAUUUAUUGAUAGGUAAUAAAUACGUUCUGAGAACACCAAACAUUCUUGAGUCGUCUUGAGGAGGUAGCUAACAUGCAGUUGGUUUCAUCCGCACAGAAGGCUUCACUUCUCCUUGCUCCACGUUAGCUGGGACACCCGUUAUACGCUGUAAGCGACGGAGGAGGACAAAGUAGCGUAGUCCCCUCCUCCUCGAUAUUAAGGUUUUCUCUCGGUGCCGUCCCACUGGAGCAACCUUACACAAUCUCGUCCAUAACUGUGCCAAAAUGGUCGUGCCCUCGUGUGCCUGCGAGUUGACGUGUCUGUGCUCAUGUCCAGCAAGAGUAGGUUGAGUUUUGUAAUAUCCCCGACACUUGGAUUAAACUGUAGAAGACUGUGAAACACACACUGCAUAUGUUGUGUCUUCUUUCACUGUUUAAUAAUGCGUCUAGCCCAAGAAGCUGACUAUUGCGAUCUACCCUUGUUACGCUGGCAGUUCCGAUCCUCCUUGAACUUCAUCUGUGUUGGAACUUUCCGAGUGCAAUCGAAGCACUAGGAGGAUCAUAGCUUAGCACGAUCGAAUUCAACAGCGCUUGAAAGCGACCAUGUAGCAGUGCACCAUAUGCACUGAGCUCAAUACGUUUCUACUCGAGCGUGCUCGAAAAUGUCUGCGUGAAAAAUUUACGGCCAGGGCUAGAUGCAUCUUGUGACUAUCCAACAAGACUUGGCCAACCAAUGUGCUGUUUGAUGCUUUACUACCGAAGAAUUAGGAGAGAUAUGAUAGUAUAAAUGUACUCUUUGUCUGUUGGCUGCAGUUGAAAAAUUUACGGUAUCGCAGUUGCAAACAAAUGUAAACGGAAAUACAGUGUGCUCCGAGUAGGAAACAAACAGCAAAACUUCAUGCACUGUGCAUAAGUGUGUUGUGUACACAAGUGACUUGGGUAUUAUCAAUGUGGCAGUUGGCAUCAUUGCAAGCAUAUCUGUGCUUAACUGAAGCAGUGACAGGCUCCCUCUCCCCAUUUUUUUUUUUUUUUUUGGUCGCGGAAGUGUAGUGCUUCAGGCUUAAUGUGUUUGUACUCAUCUUUUGUGGCCUUCAAGAACUGCUGAGUGGAUGGAUUGAUAGAAACUGUCAAACUAUGAUAUAUAUGUUCAGUGUUUGCUGUUGUAUGUAUAAAUGGUAAGAAAGCACCUAAUAUUUAGGCAUGCCAUUUAUAUGUGUUUCUUUUUUUUUUCUACAAUCGUUAUUGAAUGGACAGUGUUUGUGUGUAUACAUGUGCAGUCGCUUUGAAACUUCUGCCUUGAAGUAUUGCAGCCUGCAUUUGAUACAUCUGUGUGUACCGCCUUUAUAAAAGACAUUUGAUUUGUUAGUGGUCACCAAGCACGUUGACAUGAAAUAAAGUGUUACCUGCA